GAUGAAGAACGCAGCGAAAUGCGAUAAGUAAUGUGAAUUGCAGAAUUCAGUGAAUCAUCGAAUCUUUGAACGCACAUUGCGCCCGCCAGUAUUCUGGCGGGCAUGCCUGUUCGAGCGUCAUUUCAACCAUCAAGCCCCCGGCUUGUGUUGGGGACCUGCGGCUGCCGCAGGCCCUGAAAAGCAGUCGCGGGCUCGCUGUCACACCGAGCGUAGUAGCAUACAUCUCGCUCUGGGCGUGCUGCGGGUUCCGGCCGUUAAACCACCUUCAUAACCCAAGGUUGACCUCGGAUCAGGUAGGAAGACCCGCUGAACUUAAGCAUAUCAAUAAGCGGAGGA
rnacentral:misc_RNA from 1 species